GAUGAACGCUGGCGGCGUGCCUAAUACAUGCAAGUCGAGCGAACAGACGAGGAGCUUGCUCCUCUGACGUUAGCGGCGGACGGGUGAGUAACACGUGGAUAACCUACCUAUAAGACUGGGAUAACUUCGGGAAACCGGAGCUAAUACCGGAUAAUAUAUUGAACCGCAUGGUUCAAUAGUGAAAGACGGUUUUGCUGUCACUUAUAGAUGGAUCCGCGCCGCAUUAGCUAGUUGGUAAGGUAACGGCUUACCAAGGCAACGAUGCGUAGCCGACCUGAGAGGGUGAGCGGCCACACUGGAACGGGGACACGGUCCAGACCCCUACGGGAGGCAGCAGGAGGGAAUCUUCCGCAAAGGGCGAAAGCCGGACGGAGCAACGCCGCGUGAGUGAUGAAGGUCUUCGGAUCGUAAAACUCUGUUAUUAGGGAAGAACAAAUGUGUAAGUAACUAUGCACGUCUUGACGGUACCUAAUCAGAAAGCCACGGCUAACUACGUG
rnacentral:rRNA from 1 species